rnacentral:rRNA from 1 species
GAUGAACGCUGACAGAAUGCUUAACACAUGCCAGUCUUUGGCGAAGCUGUGCUUGCACAGCCUAGCCAAGGCGGACGGGUGAGUAACGCGUAAGGAACUUGCCCUGCAGUCAGGGAUAACAGACGGAAACGACUGAUAAGACCUGGUAAAGUCAGGCGGACUCAUGUCCAGCCUGAUGAAAAGUGAUGCUGCAGGAGAGCCUUGCGUCCUAUUAGCUUGUUGGUGGGGUAACGGCCCACCAAGGCGGUGAUAGGUAGCCGGCCUGAGAGGGUGGACGGCCACAAGGGGACUGAGAUACGGCCCUUACUCCUACGGGAGGCAGCAGUGGGGAAUAUUGGACAAUGGGGGCAACCCUGAUCCAGCAAUUCUGUGUGCACGAUGAAGGUUUUCGGAUUGUAAAGUGCUUUCAGCAGGGAAGAAAAAAAUGACGGUACCUGCAGAAGAAGCGACGGCUAAAUACGUG